rnacentral:rRNA from 1 species
UACAGAGGGGGCAAGCGUUGUUCGGAAUUACUGGGCGUAAAGGGCGCGUAGGCGGCCUGUUAAGUCGAACGUGAAAUCCCCGGGCUCAACCCGGGAACUGCGUCCGAUACUGGCAGGCUUGAAUCCGGGAGAGGGAUGCGGAAUUCCAGGUGUAGCGGUGAAAUUCGUAGAUAUUGGGAAGAACACCGAUGGCGAAGGCAGCCAUCUGGACCGACACUGACGCUGAGGCGCGAAAGCGUGGGGAGCAAACAGG